UUCAUGUGCACUGGGAGGGUUGUUCGUGUUGACACCGAUAAGGGGUGGUGCUAUGUUGCUUGCUCCAAAUGCAGUAAAAAAAUUGCAACAUACUGACUCUGCCUAUACAUGUGGACAAUGCAAUAAUUCGCAUGCUGUUGGACUCUUCGCUAUCAUGUGGAAUGGCUAUAUCUGAUGAUACUGCGGAAAGCACUUUCGUUUGGUUUGACGGGGUAAUGACUAAACUGCAUAGUCUCCGAGCAAGUGAGGCUGUACAGAUGCUGGCUGAGGACGAAGUGAAUCCUGAGGAUUCCAGGAUACCUCCGUUUAUUGCAGAAAUGGAAGGAAGGACGUACACGUUCUAAGUUAGAGUCACUGCGUAUAACUUCACCGAGCAUCAUAAGACAUUCACCGUAACGCGUGUUGCUGAAGAUCAUGGUCGUUUGCCAGAUGAUGACGUGGAU